rnacentral:rRNA from 1 species
CACUCCUACGGGAGGCAGCAGUGGGGAAUAUUGGACAAUGGGCGCAAGCCUGAUCCAGCCAUGCCGCGUGAGUGAUGAAGGCCCUAGGGUUGUAAAGCUCUUUCACCGGUGAAGAUAAUGACGGUAACCGGAGAAGAAGUCCCGGCUAACUUCGUGCCAGCAGCCGCGGUAAUACGAAGGGGGCUAGCGUUGUUCGGAUUUACUGGGCGUAAAGCGCACGUAGGCGGACUAUUAAGUCAGGGGUGAAAUCCCGGGGCUCAACCCCGGAACUGCCUUUGAUACUGGUAGUCUUGAGUUCGAGAGAGGUGAGUGGAAUUCCGAGUGUAGAGGUGAAAUUCGUAGAUAUUCGGAGGAACACCAGUGGCGAAGGCGGCUCACUGGCUCGAUACUGACGCUGAGGUGCGAAAGCGUGGGGAGCAAACAGGAUUAGAAACCCUUGUAGUCCCA